CUAUGAACCGAUUUUUUUCGUGCAUUUUUCAUACACACGAGGCUUUUCGACGCUUUUUUCGCGUAGUGUCGUUUAGGUUUACAUUUAGAAUACUAUCCUCCUUGAAGUAGUCAGAUUUAGGUUUGGGUUAAAAAGCGGCUAUUCGCCUCGUAAGGUUGACAAACAGUGAAAGAUAUCAGCGCCAAAACGAGAUAAGAAAAAAUGAAUCGUAUCGUACAAAAAAAAAUGCCAAAAUCCUAGGUACCUAUUUGAAAUGAAUGUAUAAAGAACUCUGAAAUAGGCAUUCGGUUGAAGUCUUUUUUUUGUUUGGCUUUUCUUUCGUACACUGAAAUAUCCAUUGCUUUUGUUGAUUUAAUUUCAUUCGCACCUGAAGAUCAAACAAUUUCGAAAUGUACUGAUUACAUUUUGGAGACAUACACUGAUUAUAAUAUAUUUCCUCUAGAAAUUUGGGAUGAAAUUCAAAUUAAGGAUAUCUUAUGAACACAC